GAUGAACGCUGGCGGCGUGCCUAAUACAUGCAAGUCGAGCGAACAGACGAGGAGCUUGCUCCUCUGACGUUAGCGGCGGACGGGUGAGUAACACGUGGAGAACCUACCUAUAAGACUGGGAUAACUUCGGGAAACCGGAGCUAAUACCGGAUAAUAUAUUGAACCGCAUGGUUCAAUAGUGAAAGACGGUUUUGCUGUCACUUAUAGAUGGAUCCGCGCCGCAUUAGCUAGUUGGUAAGGUAACGGCUUACCAAGGCAACGAUGCGUAGCCGACCUGAGAGGGUGAUCGGCCACACUGGAACUGAGACACGGUCCAGACUCCUACGGGAGGCAGCAGUAGGGAAUCUUCCGCAAGGGGCGAAAGCCUGACGGAGCAACGCCGCGUGAGUGAUGAAGGUCUUCGGAUCGUAAAACGCUGUUAUUAGGGAAGAACAAAUGUGUAAGUAACUAUGAACGUCUUGACGGUACCUAAUCAGAAAGCCACGGCUAACUACGUG
rnacentral:rRNA from 1 species